AUUGAACGCUGGCGGAAUGCUUUACACAUGCAAGUCGAACCGCAGCACGGGGGCAGUCCUGGUGGCGAGUGGCGAACGGGUGAGUAAUACAUCGGAACGUGCCCGGUCGUGGGGGAUAACGUAGCGAAAGUUACGCUAAUACCGCAUACGAUCUGAGGAUGAAAGCGGGGGACCUUCGGGCCUCGCGCGAUCGGAGCGGCCGAUGUCAGAUUAGGUAGUUGGUGGGGUAAAGGCCUACCAAGCCGACGAUCUGUAGCUGGUCUGAGAGGACGACCAGCCACACUGGGACUGAGACACGGCCCAGACUCCUACGGGAGGCAGCAGUGGGGAAUUUUGGACAAUGGGCGCAAGCCUGAUCCAGCCAUUCCGCGUGCAGGACGAAGGCCUUCGGGUUGUAAACUGCUUUUGUACGGAACGAAAAGGCUCUGGCUAAUACCUGGGGCUCAUGACGGUCCCGUAAGAAUAAGCACCGGCUAACUACGUG
rnacentral:rRNA from 1 species